GCCCCCGUAGCCCAAUCGGCAGAGGCGGCGGACUCAAAAUCCGUACAGUGUCAGUUCGACUCUGACCGGGGGCACCA
rnacentral:tRNA from 1 species